AAAAAAUCAAACGAAUAGUUAGGUAUUAAAAUGUCAUAAUUUCAUCAUUUUCGACGCAUAUGAGCUUUUGGAAUGAAUUACCUACAUUAAAUAUGCACAUGAUUAGUGACCUAUAAAAUUUUAUGACAGUUGUCGCGUUGUUGUCUUCGAUUACCGACUUACCUACUUGAAACAUAAGUAUACCUUUGUCGAUGUGAGUGAAGUGAAUAAACGUAGGUCGCGAAAAUACCUACCACAGUAGAAAGUAUCAUAUGAAGAAGCAUUUAGAAAAUCGAUGGGAGUCUGAGAAACAUUUUGGGCUGAAGUGGCCAAAGUUGUUGACUGGGUGAAACCAUGGGAUAAAAUGUUGGAUAAUACUAAUCAACUGUUCACAAAAUGCGAAAAUGACCCGUGCCAUUAUCAGGUUCAUUGUCAUGUGUUGGUCGGAAAAGAGAAUAAAACUGCUCUUCUACAUAAUAGCCCUGUCACUAAAACCAUUAGGAAAGUUAUUUACAAAGAACUACAAGAUAAGGUAGCCAAAAAUCUGAUAAGGAAAUAAACUGCGAGCUUGUAAAUUUGGUUCGUAAUUUAAUUGGUGCAAUUGCAACAUUUCAAAUAACAACACGAGUUGAAGCACUACCACGACGCGAAAAUCUAUUUCAGAUCUAGCUAGAAAUAAGUUUGUUAAGAUUUCAGCGACUAUCGAAGAUCCCACUGUAUACAAAGGUAUUAAAGAAGCUUUGAUGAAAAUAGAAUACCUAUGCCAAGCAAGUGCCCGACCCACAGUAAAAUUUUCGAAAAGAUUACCAAGUUACCAACUGAACAAAUAAUUAUGUAGUAUUUCGACUGCAGAAAGCAUACUUAACGUUUUUCUUCGUUUUGUUCAUCUGUAAGUUUUUUUAUAAACUAAAAAUUCAAAAAAAAAAAAUUAUGCUUUGUACGUACUUGUAUUAUAUUUUAAUACCAUUAAUAUGAAUGUAUUUAAACUUGUAUACUCUUGAAAUAAAAUCUGUGCA